UCGUAAUUGCAACUACAUGAAUUUACUCUAAAUCUCGUACAAGCUUCUGAAUUGUAUAUUUUGUUGGGAAAAAGUCAUUAUUUAUGAUGAGAACACGUUUAAGACUUUUGUGGCUUUAAGAUACUAUUAUGAUGUGGAAGUGUGCUAAAUUAAGUUAUGUCUGGAAACGAGGAUACUGAUUGCAACUUCCAAGUUAAACAAGGACUG
rnacentral:lncRNA from 1 species